GAUGAACGCUGGCGGCGUGCCUAAUACAUGCAAGUCGAGCGAACAGACGAGGAGCUUGCUCCUCUGACGUUAGCGGCGGACGGGUGAGUAACACGUGGAUAACCUACCUAUAAGACUGGGAUAACUUCGGGAAACCGGAGCUAAUACCGGAUAAUAUAUUGAACCGCAUGGUUCAAUAGUGAAAGACGGUUUUGCUGUCACUUAUAGAUGGAUCCGCGCCGCAUUAGCUAGUUGGUAAGGUAACGGCUUACCAAGGCAACGAUGCGUAGCCGACCUGAGAGGGUGAUCGGCCACACUGGAACUGAGACACGGUCCAGACUCCUACGGGAGGCAGCAGUAGGGAAUCUUCCGCAAAGGGCGAAAGCCUGACGGAGCAACGCCGCGUGAGUGAUGAAGGUCUUCGCAUCGUAAAACUCUGUUAUUAGGGAAGAACAAAUGUGUAAGUAACUAUGCACGUCUUGACGGUACCUAAUCAGAAAGCCACGGCUAACUACGUG
rnacentral:rRNA from 1 species